AGUUACAAUAUAGUAUAUCGCAGAUCCACUUUGUCUAUUUGCUGCCUGGUCACUGUUGCAAUAGCUUAUUUUUGAGGCAGAUAAUCAGGGGCGCGACUUUCCCUGGGGACAGGGGUGUCAUGUCCCACCCACAUUCUGAAAUUGCAUUUUUGUCCCCCCCAGUUUCAUCAUUGUAAUGUGAUACAGAAAGCGACAACGGUGUGCUUUAGGACUAGGCUGGCUGGACCUGCACGGGAGAGUUGAGCAUAGUUCAGUGUGUAUGUGUUGCGCUCUUUUACAGAGUUGUAAAACCAAACCAAGCAGAAAGUGGAUACUAUUUAGUUGACUGAUGUCGUUGGCAAGAUCUGAAUCAGAUGAUGAAACCAUUGGCCAAAUGAUUGAAGAUUGAUAUUCUGAUGAUUCUUCAGUGAAAUGAUUAGAUGGUGACAGGAUCAGAUGAUGUCCCUGCAGGGUCAGACAGCCAGGGAAGACCAGUCUACGGAGCUCAGGAGGAUCAGAUGGUGAUAGGGGUCUCAGCAGGUUCAGGCAGCCAGGGUGUUACGCGGAGUGGAACAGGGGAACUCAAGAGCAGACUCAGACAAGGAGACUGGGAUGAAGAAACCAAGAGAGAGAGAGAGUACUGGAGGAGCGGCAGCAGGUCAAGGAGACACAGGAUGAACAGUAGAGGGCGUUGCAGGACCAGAUGUGAAACAGGGAAGACCAGUCUAUGACAGAGGUGAGGUGAAUUUUUGAAGAUACAACACUUUAUUCUUUCUUAGCAGCAAACACUGAACAAGCCAGAUGCUAUUUUAAGACAGUAUGACAAACCUCCAAAGUCGAUUUACAAACUGUAUCAAUGGUUGAUAGAGGCUUUUCCUUAUGACACAAAAAUGGUAGAAGCUAUUGAUGAUGAUGAAUGGAGUCAGAGGUUUGAAUGCUCCAUCAUGUUCAUAUAAUCUCAGACAUAAAUUACUUUUUAAAUUACGCUCUAAGACCAUCCAUAGAACAUACUACAUGCCAGUGAAACUGAAUUACAGCGCCUUCGGAAAGUAUUCAGACCCCUUGACGUUUUCCACAUUUUGUUACGUUACAGCAUUAUUCUAAAAUGGAUUCAAUCUUUUUUUCCCCCUCAUCAAUCUACACACAUAAUGAGAAAGCAAAAACAGGUUUGUAGACUUUUUUGAAAAUUUGAAAAAAGUAAAUAAAUGAAAUAUGACAUUGACAUAAAUAUUCAGACCCUCUACUCAGUAAUUUGUUGAAGCAUCUUUGGCAGCGAUUACAGAAUCAAGUAUUCUUCUACAAGCUUGGCACACCUAUAUUUUCGGGAGUUUCUCCCAUUCUUCUCUGCAGAUCCUCUCAAGCUCUGUCAGGCCAGCGUUGCUGCACAGCUAUUUUCAGGUCUCUCCAGAGAUGCUAAAUUGGGUUCAAGCCCAGGCUAUGGCCGGGCCACUCAAGGACAUUCAGAGACUUGUACUGAAGCCACUCCUGCAUUGUCUUGGCUGUGUGCUUAGGGUCGUUGUCAUGUUGGUAAGUCACCAUCUAAUCCUCCUAAAAUGAGACAUGACAAAGAAUGUUGGAAAGUGAAGCGUCGCCCCAGUCUGAGAUCCUGAGAGCUUUAGAGCUGGUUUUCAUUAGGGAUCUUUCUGUACUUUGCUUCGUUCAUUUUGCCUCGAUCCUGACUGGUCUCCCAGUCCCUGCCGCUGAAAAACAUCCCCACGGCAUGAUGCUGCCACCUUCAUGCUUCACGGUAGGGAUGGUGCCAGGUUUACUCCAUACAUGACGCUUGACAUUCAGGCCAAAGAGGUCAGUCUUGGUUUCAUCAAACCAGAGAAUCUGGUUUCUCAUGGACUGAGAGUCUUUAGGUGCCUCCUGGCGAACUCCAACCGGGCUGUCAUGUGCCUUUUACUGAGGAGUGGCUUCAGUCUGGCCACUCUACCAUAAAGUCCUGAUUGGUGGAGUACUGCAGAGAUGGUUGUCCUUCUGGAAGGUUCUCCCAUCUCCACAGAGGAACUCUGGAGCUCUGUCAGAGUGACCAUCGGGUUCUUGGUCACCUCCCUGACCAAGGCCUUCUCCCACUGAUUGCUCAGAUUGGCCAGGAGGCCUGCUCUAGAAAGAGUCUUGGUGGUCAAACUUCUUCCAUUUCAGAUUCAUGGAUGGCCACAGUGUUCUUGGGGACCUUCAACGGUGCAGAAAUGUUUUGGUACCCUUCCCCAAAUCUGUGCCUCGACACAAUCCUGUCUCAUGGCUCAACGGACAAUUCAUACAAUCUCAUGGCUUGGUUUUUGCUCUGACAUGCACUGCCAACUGUGGGACCUUAUAUGGACAGGAGUGUGCCUUUCCAAAUCAUGUCCAAUCAAUUACCACAGUUGGACCUCAAUCAAGUUGUAGAAACAUCUCAAGGAUGAUCAAUGGAAACAGGAUGCACCUGAGUUUAAUUUCGAGUCUCAUAGCAAAGGGUCUGAAUACUUAUGUAAAUAAGGUAUUUCUGUUAUUUAUUUGUUCUAAAAACAUGUUUUUGCUUUGCCAUUAUGGGUAUUGUGUGUAGAUUGCUGAGAUAAAAAAAAUA